rnacentral:rRNA from 1 species
UAAAGCCUACGGGGCGCAGCAGUGGGGAAUAUUGCACAAUGGGGGGAACCCUGAUGCAGCGACGCCGCGUGAGUGAAGAAGUAUUUCGGUAUGUAAAGCUCUGUCAGCAGGGAAGAAGAAAGACGGUACCUGACCAAGAAGCCCCGGCUAACUACGUGCCAGCAGCCGCGGUAAUACGUAGGGGGCAAGCGUUAUCCGGAUUUACUGGGUGUAAAGGGAGCGCAGACGGCAGGGCACGUCUGGAGUGAGCGGCAGGGGCCCAACCCCUGGACUGCUCUGGACACUGGCCGGCUGGAGUGCAGGAG